UACACUUAUUAAAUGUCAUAUUCCAUUAAACGACAGCUGUAGUUGACAGAUAUACGACAAAAAAAUAAUAUUAUUUAAAUCAAUUAGGAAAAACAAACAACACAAAUCAAUGAUUCACGGGUGCAAUAUCUUCCGCCGAAAAGAAAAUAUUUCAUAACAUUAGGUACAGCUCAAAGGAAUCGAUCUCCCAAAAUGUUAUCUAGUUGUUGGAUGGAUAGAGCUAGAGUCACACAGGCAUACCACGCCAUAUAAGUGGCACCCAAUUUCGCACAAGAACAAUUUAGUUGCAGUUCCGAUGUGAAAAUUCUUAAUCCCGAAGUUAUAGCUUGCUCACUUGCCGCAAGUGUAGUUGAACUUCCAAAGAGCAUUGUUGAAAGUAAUCGUAUAUCAAUCAUCAACUGAAAAUCAAUCAAUAGACCUAUCGGAAACUUUAAUCCAACAAUUUAUUCGAUUCAAAAUCGAAAAAAAAGAGACUCAGGAAGAAAACUUGGAGAAUUGUUCCAAUAGCCAAAUUAAUAAAAUAAGUCCUAACGUAAGUGUUGAUGAUGAAUUGAAACCCAUAACCUACGGCGGAAGGUAAAAAAUUUACAAAUUGCAUUGAAGCGCAAAAACUCUUACCAAAGCUGCUAAUUGGUGCUGCAGUCGAUCUAUCAACGGCAAUCGCUCUCAUAAAUAAAUAGUGUGCCAAAUUACCCAGUGAUACAUUCACCAACCUAACUCCAUUAUCGAGAUAUGCAAAGACAAAGCGUUGUGGCAAAGAUAUUGUAUCAAUAUACACUUCAUUUGCCUAUAAAUUCGUUUUUAAAAUAUGACAUAAUGGGACUACCAGUGCCAACGGAAAUCCUUGCAAGACGAAUGGUUACCCGUUCAGGCAUGUCGAGAGUUGCAUAUGUAUGGAGAACUGGACAACACCUUGCACACAAUUGGGAAAGAAGGAUUUAAAGUACUGCGAGUCUCAUUGGGAGGAAAAAAUUGACGAUCAAUUUGUUAAAGAUAGCGAAGAACCACGACCUAGUACAACCAAAACCAAACAUCAACAAUAUUAUUACAAACGAUUUUGUAAUUGUCGACUUACUGCUGGUGCUGUAUUCUAUUUGUACUACAUUAAUCUAACCCUCCGAUGUUGAUUAAACCGAAAAUUGUGUCUUCAAUGUUCCCACAAUAAAAACUAGAAAAAGUGCAAUUGUCAUUGAUUGGGAUUUCCUAUAGGUUAUUGCAAUGACCAGUGACACCACCAUGGGCUUCAUAACACAACUUUGUUUUGUUUAGAUAAAUUUAGCUUUUGUUUUUUUAAUUUUUUUCCAAUAAAAAAUAAUAGCUGUGGUACAUUUUAAGCCUUUUGAAUUUUAAAAAUAAAAAAUGUAUACUUUUGCAUAAA